UACGGAAGGCAGCAGUGGGGAAUAUUGCACAAUGGGCGAAAGCCUGAUGCAGCUAUGCCGCGUGUAUGAAGAAGGCCUUAGGGUUGUAAAGUACUUUCAUCGGGGAGGAAAAACAAAACUAAUAAUUUUAUUUCUUGACGUUACCCGAAAAAGAAGCACCGGCUAACUCCGUGCCAGCAGCCGCGGUAAUACGGAGGGUGCUAGCGUUAAUCAGAAUUACUGGGCGUAAAGAGCACGUAGGUGGUUUUUUAAGUCAGAUGUGAAAUCCCUGGGCUUAACCUAGGAACUGCAUUUUGAAACUGAAAUACUAGAGUAUCGUAGAGGGAGGUAGAAUUCUAGGUGUAGCGGUGAAAAUGCGUAGAUAUCUGGAGGAAUACCUGUGGCGAAAGCGGCCUCCUAAACGAAUACUGACACUGAGGUGCGAAAAGCGUGGGGAGCAAAACAGGGAUUAGAUACC
rnacentral:rRNA from 1 species